rnacentral:rRNA from 1 species
AAAGCUCGUAGUUGAAUUUCGGGGUUCUACCGUCGGUCGGGCUAACAAGUCUGUACUGGUGUGUAGAACUUCUACCUUCUGGGGAACUAUCAUGUUAUUAAUUUAGUGUGGUAGGAAACCAGGACCUUUACCUUGAAAAAAUUAGAGUGUUCAAAGCAGGCUUAAGUCUGAAUACAUUAGCAUGGAAUAAUAGAAUAGGACGGUGGUCCUGUUUUGUUGGUUUCUGAAUCACCGUAAUGAUUAAUAGGGAUAGUUGGGGGCAUUAGUAUUCAAUUGUCAGAGGUGAAAUUCUUGGAUUUAUUGAAGACUAACUUCUGCGAAAGCAUUUGCCAAGGAUGUUUUCAUUAAUCAAGAACGAAAGUUAGGGGAUCGAAGACGAUCAGAUACCGUCGUAGUCUUAACCAUAAACUAUGCCGACUAGGGAUCGGACGAUGUUAAAUUUUAUUGACUCGUUCGGCACCUUACGGGAAAC